CUUUUUUUUUCACGGGGAGGGGAAAGUGGAGAUGCCCGUCUCCCCCCUCCUUGUUCGAGCUCAUCAAGUUCAGGAAUAAAGGACAAAGAAGGGGCAGGUAUUUCGUGGAGGCAGACUCAAAGGGAGGCGUGGUAGGCGGUGAGGUAGAGGUGGGCGGAAGGAGGACAGAGGGGGAUGGGGCGGGGGACUGACGCACCCUCCACCAACCUGCACGUUUGUGUGUGAUCGGUUCGUGCUUUCGCUCCUCUCGCUCGCGUCCUCCCUCCCUCCAGGCGAGAAGAAGAGGGGUGUUGCGGAACGGUAACGAUCAUGAGCCAGCAAACCUCAUCAGAAAGGGAAACGAAAACGAUGUGCCCCCCCCCCUCCUUCCUCCCUCCCUCCCUCCGAGUCUCGCGAACGGCGGCACAGCAGCGCUCCCGUUUGCUUUCGCUACGCUUUGGUUGACGUUGUGUGUUUCGCUUGACCGCGUCCUUCCGUCACGCUUUUUAUGUCUUCUGUUCUUGCACGUGUGCGGAUAGGCGCUCCGCGUGUGGGUGGGUGGGUAGGUAGAUGUGUUUCGGGGGGUGGGCGGCCAACCUCCCGCCCCUCCUCCUGCGCACUCCGCAGAGGUGACACAGCCCACGUACACACACAUCGAAUGCACAAAAAACGUAGGAAGACAGCAAUAGCCACGCAACGAUCUCUGAAGGAAAACUUCAUUUAAAAAAAAAGAGGAAAUAUCCACGAGUCGGACAGAGAGUGUGCAGAGCUAUAGGCCGCUCGCGUCACUGCGCCGCGUUUGACUCUCUGUCGGAUCUGUGUGCCUCAUGACUUUCUCUCUGUGGAGCGUAUUUCUCUUCGUGUGUUCCUGUUUUCGACGGCAGAAACAGCCCUGCCCGUCGACUGCACGAGCACUGUCGUUGUGAAGACUUC
rnacentral:misc_RNA from 1 species